rnacentral:lncRNA from 1 species
UCCUUCUCUUGACUCAUCCUGGCUCAAAAAGCACCCACUGAGCACCUUGCCACCCCCACUCCUACCCGCCAGAGAACAAACUCCCUUUAACUGUAAUUUUCCUUUACCUACCCAAAUCCUAUAAAACGGCCCCACCCUUAUCUCCCUUCGCUGACUCUCUUUUCGGACUCAGCCCGCCUGCACCCAGGUGAAAUAAACAGCCAUGUUGCUCACACAAA